rnacentral:rRNA from 1 species
UGGGGAAUAUUGGACAACGGGGGGAACCCUGAUCCAGCCAUGCCGCGUGAGUGAAGAAGGCCUUAUGGUUGUAAAGCACUUUAAGCGAGGAGGAGGGUACUGGUAUUAAUACUACCAGCUACUGGACGUUACUCGCAGAAUAAGCACCGGCUAACUCUGUGCCAGCAGCCGCGGUAAUACAGAGGGUGCGAUCGUUAAUCGGAUUUACUGGGCGUAAAGCGUGCGUAGGCGGCUAAUUGAGUCGGAUGUGAAAUCCCCGAGCUUAACUUGGGAACUGCAUCCAUAACUGGUGAGCUAGAGUAGGGCAGAGGGUGGUGGAAUUUCCUGUGUAGCGGUCGAAGGCGUAGAUAUAGGAAGGAACACAAGUGGCGAAGGCGACCACCUGGGCUCAUACUGACACUGUGGUACGAAAGCGUGGGGAGCAAACAGG